GAGGCCGACAGGCGUAGGCGAUGGAUAACAGGUUGAUAUUCCUGUACCACCUAUAAUCGUUUUAAUCGAUGGGGGGACGCAGUAGGAUAGGCGAAGCGUGCGAUUGGAUUGCACGUCUAAGCAGUAAGGCUGAGUAUUAGGCAAAUCCGGUACUCGUUGAGGCUGAGCUGUGAUGGGGAGAAGACAUUGUGUCUUCGAGUCGUUGAUUUCACACUGCCGAGAAAAGCCUCUAGAUAGAAAAUAGGUGCCCGUACCGCAAACCGACACAGGUAGUCAAGAUGAGAAUUCUAAGGUGAGCGAGCGAACUCUCGUUAAGG
rnacentral:rRNA from 1 species